rnacentral:tRNA from 1 species
GGGAGUGGAUGGGGCUCUGGUGUCCCCCGCGGCCUUCAAAGCCGACUGUCCCGCCUUUUUGGUUGGGAGGGAGGUUCGAUUCCUUCACACUCCCGCCA